GAAGGCGGCCCCUGGGACAAAGAUUGACGCUCAGGGGGGAAAGCGUGGGGAGCAAACAGGGUUAGAUCCCUGGGUAGUCCCCGCUGUAAAAGAUGUUGAUUGGGAGGUGGUGCCCUUGGGGCGUGGCUUCCGGAGCUAACGCGUUAAGUCGCCGCCUUGGGGAGUACGGCGCAAGGUUAAACUUCAAAAUGAAUUGACGGGGGCCGGCACAAGCGGUGGAGCAUGUGGUUAAAUUCGAUGCAACGCGAAGACCCUUACCUACUCUUGACAUCCACGGAAUUCGCUAGAGAUAGCUUAGUGCCUUCGGGAACGGUGAGACAGGUGCUGCAUGGCUGUCGUCAGCUCGUGUUGUGAAAUGUUGGGUUAAGUCCCGCAACGAGCGCAACCCUUAUCCUUUGUUGCCAGCGAGUAAUGUCGGGAACUCAAAGGAGACUGCCGGUGAUAAACCGGGGAAAGGUGGGGAUGACGUCAAGUCAUCAUGGCCCUUUCGAGUAGGGCUACACACGUGCUACAAUGGCAUAUACAAAGAGAAGCAAACUCGCGAGAGCAAGCGGACCUCAUAAAGUAUGUCGUAGU
rnacentral:rRNA from 1 species